rnacentral:rRNA from 1 species
GAUAAACGCUGACGGUGUGCCUAAUACAUGCAAGUCGAACGGGCAGUGUAUCGGUGGCAACACUUUUAUACUGCUAGUGGCGAACGGGUGAGUAACGCGUGGGUAAUCUGCCUUAAAGACUGGGAUAACUCCUCGAAAGAGGUGCUAAUACCGGAUGGUCUAUAUUAAUCUCAUGAUUUUUAUAGUAAAGGUAGCCGCAAGGCCUCUGCUUUAAGAUGAGCUCGCGUCCUAUUAGCUAGUUGGUGGGGUAAUGGCCUACCAAGGCAAUGAUGGGUAACCGGUCUGAGAGGAUGGUCGGUCACACUGGGACUGAGAUACGGCCCAGACUCCUACGGGAGGCAGCAGUAGGGAAUAUUGCGCAAUGGGCGAAAGCCUGACGCAGCAACGCCGCGUGGGGGAUGAAGGCCCUCGGGUCGUAAACCCCUUUUCUCAGGGAAGAUAAUGACGGUACCUGAGGAAUAAGUCUCGGCUAACUACGUGCCAGCAGCCGCGGUAAUACGUAGGUGACAAGCGUUGUCCGGAUUUACUGGGCGUAAAGAGCGCGCAGGCGGUCGAUCAAGUCGAGUGUGAAAGCCCCCGGCUCAACUGGGGAGGGUCAUUCGAUACUGGUCGACUCGAAGGCAGGAGAGGGUAGUGGAAUUCCCGGUGUAGUGGUGAAAUGCGUAGAUAUCGGGAGGAACACCAGUGGCGAAGGCGACUACCUGGCCUGUUCUUGACGCUGAGGCGCGAAAGCUAGGGGAGCAAACGGGAUUAGAUACCCCGGUAGUCCUAGCCGUAAACGAUGGACACUAGGUGUUGGUAG